rnacentral:rRNA from 1 species
ACGCUGGCGGCAUGCCUAACACAUGCAAGUCGAACGCUAUCUUGUAUAGAGUGGCGCACGGGUGAGUAACGCGUGGGAACCUGCCUUUCUCUGCGGGACAACGGUUGGAAACGACCGCUAAUACCGCAUACGCCCUACGGGGGAAAGGUCAGCCGGAGAAAGAGGGGCCCGCGUUAGAUUAGCUAGUUGGUGGGGUAAUGGCCUACCAAGGCGACGAUCUAUAGCUGGUCUGAGAGGAUGAUCAGCCACACUGGGACUGAGACACGGCCCAGACUCCUACGGGAGGCAGCAGUGGGGAAUAUUGGACAACGGGGGCAACCCUGAUCCAGCAAUGCCGCGUGUGUGAUGAAGGCCCUAGGGUUGUAAAGCACUUUCACUGGUGAAGAUGAUGACGGUAACCAGAGAAGAAGCCCCGGCUAACUUCGUGCCAGCAGCCGCGGUAAUACGAAGGGGGCGAGCGUNGUUCGGAAUUACUGGGCGUAAAGGGCGCG